GGCCGACUAGCUCAGUUGGUUAGAGCGCCGUGCUAAUAACGCGGAGGUCUUGGGUUCGAUCCCCACGUUGGCCA
rfam:Agaricus bisporus var. burnettii JB137-S8 unplaced genomic scaffold AGABI1scaffold_3, whole genome shotgun sequence.